GGGAGUAGCUCAGUGGUAGAGCGUCAGCUUCCCAUGCUGAUGGUCACGGGUUCGAUCCCCGUCUCCC
rnacentral:tRNA from 1 species